rnacentral:rRNA from 1 species
UACUAAGGGAAACUUGAGCUAAUACCGGAUAAUGACGUAAGUCCAAAGAUUUAUCGCCGAAGGAUGAGCCCGCGUAGGAUUAGCUUGUUGGUGGGGUAAUGGCCCACCAAGGCGACGAUCCUUAGCUGGUCUGAGAGGAUGGCCAGCCACACUGGGACUGAGACACGGCCCAGACUCCUACGGGAGGCAGCAGUGGGGAAUUUUGGACAAUGGGCGCAAGCCUGAUCCAGCCAUGCCGCGUGCGGGACGAAGGCCUUCGGGUUGUAAACCGCUUUCAGCCGGAAAGAAAUCGCCAAGGCUAAUAUCCUUGGUGGAUGACGGUACCGGAAGAAGAAGCACCGGCUAACUACGUG